rnacentral:misc_RNA from 1 species
AACUUUUGGCAAUGGAUCUCUUGGCUCUCGCAUCGAUGAAGAACGCAGCGAAAUGUGAUACGUAAUGUGAAUUGCAGACCCAGUGAAUCAUCGAAUCUUUGAACGCAUCUUGCGCUCUGUGGCAUUCCGCAGAGCAUGUCUGUCUGAGUGUUGUGAAUCCUCGUCACACCGACACGCCCUCCCGCAUGUCGCACGUGCACGGACCGUGGCCGCUGCCGGUUCCCCCCGGCUCGGCUAAAAUCAAACAAGGCAGCGCCCGUCGCGGCUUGAUCCAAUAGUAAUGGUUACACACUACCCCCUUGGAGACGCCUCAGACGCUGCCCCAAUCACACCCACCACGCACACUCGCUCAACGCGCGCACACCCACCCUCACCC